rnacentral:rRNA from 1 species
UACGUAGGGUGCAAGCGUUGUCCGGAAUUAUUGGGCGUAAAGAGCUCGUAGGCGGUUUGUUGCGUCGGCUGUGAAAUCCCGAGGCUCAACCUCGGGUCUGCAGUCGAUACGAGCAAACUAGAGUGUUGCAGGGGGAGACUGGAAUUCCUGGUGUAGCGGUGAAAUGCGCAGAUAUCAGGAGGAACACCGGUGGCGAAGGCGGGUCUCUGGGCAACAACUGACGCUGGAGGAGCGAAAGCAU